rnacentral:rRNA from 1 species
GACGAACGCUGGCGGCGUGCCUAAUACAUGCAAGUUGAGCGCUGAAGGUUGGUACUUGUACCAACUGGAUGAGCAGCGAACGGGUGAGUAACGCGUGGGGAAUCUGCCUUUGAGCGGGGGACAACAUUUGGAAACGAAUGCUAAUACCGCAUAAAAACUUUAAACACAAGUUUUAAGUUUGAAAGAUGCAAUUGCAUCGCUCAAAGAUGAUCCCGCGUUGUAUUAGCUAGUUGGUGAGGUAAAGGCUCACCAAGGCGAUGAUACAUAGCCGACCUGAGAGGGUGAUCGGCCACAUUGGGACUGAGACACGGCCCAAACUCCUACGGGAGGCAGCAGUAGGGAAUCUUCGGCAAUGGACGAAAGUCUGACCGAGCAACGCCGCGUGAGUGAAGAAGGUUUUCGGAUCGUAAAACUCUGUUGGUAGAGAAGAACGUUGGUGAGAGUGGAAAGCUCAUCAAGUGACGGUAACUACCCAGAAAGGGACGGCUAACUACGU